CUACGGGUGGCAGCAGUGGGGAAUAUUGCACAAUGGGGGAAACCCUGAUGCAGCGACGCCGCGUGAAGGAUGAAGGUCUUCGGAUCGUAAACUUCUAUCAGCAGGGAAGAAACAAAUGACGGUACCUGACUAAGAAGCUCCGGCUAACUACGUGCCAGCAGCCGCGGUAAUACGUAGGGAGCGAGCGUUAUCCGGAUUUACUGGGUGUAAAGGGUGCGUAGGCGGCCUGGUAAGUUAGAAGUGAAAUUUUGGGGCUCAACCCCAGAGCUGCUUCUAAAACUGCUGGGCUAGAGUGCAGGAGAGGAAAGCGGAACUCCACGUGUAGCGGUGAAAUGCGUAGAGAUGUGGAGGAACACCAGUAGCGAAGGCGGCUUUCUGGACUGUAACUGACGCUGAGGCGCGAAAGCGUGGGGAGCAAACAGGAUUAGAUACCCUCGUAGUC
rnacentral:rRNA from 1 species